rnacentral:rRNA from 1 species
CCUACGGGGGGCAGCAGGCGCGAAAACUUUACCAUGCGGGCAACCGUGAUAAGGAAACCCCGAGUGCCAGCACAGGCUGGCUGUCCACCAGUGUAAAUAACUGGUGAAGAAAGGGCCGGGCAAGACCGGUGCCAGCCGCCGCGGUAAUACCGGCGGCUCGAGUGGUGGCCGCUAUUACUGGGCUUAAAGGGUCCGUAGCUGGAUAUACAAGUCCCUUGAGAAAUCCGCCGGCUUAACCGGUGGGCGUUCAGGGGAAACUGUAUUUCUAGGGACCGGGAGAGGUGAGAGGUACUGCCGGGGUAGGAGUGAAAUCCUGUAAUCCCGGUGGGACCACCUAUGGCGAAGGCAUCUCACCAGAACGGGUCCGACAGUGAGGGACGAAAGCUGGGGGAGCAAACCGGAUUAGAUACCCCUGUAGUCC